rnacentral:lncRNA from 1 species
CCCGCCUCUCCCUGCCCCUCCCCCCACUGGGUUUGGCCACGCCCAUUUCCCGUUGGGAGGCGGGGCCAGGACCGGAAGUGGUUGGACCGGAAGAGGAAGAAGAAGAAGAAGAGGAUGGAGCGGAACCGGAAGGGGCGGGGCAAGUGGUGCCGUUGGUGGUCACGUGUUGGGACGGGCGGGGCCUACGGGGUCUCCUGAAAGCCCCUCGGGCGCAGGCGGAAGUACGCAAGCGGAAGAUGGUGUCGUUCUUUGAUGACGUCACAGUGUUCCUGUUCGAUCAGGAGACUCCAACCAACGAGUUGAUCUGCCAGAGCGCCGCCGUGGGGCAGGAGAACGCUAUAGCGCCUCCCGAUGGUCUGGGUAGGUAUAACGUUGGGCUGGAGGACCCGCUGGGAGGACUGAGCCCAAUAGGGAGGGGGAGGGGCUUCCUGACCCAUAAGUGGAGGGUUCAGCUCUAUGGAAGUCGGGCUCAGACCCAUAGAAAGUGGGUCUGGGGGGUCCCAGUCCCAUAGGAAGGGGUCUCAGCCCCACAAAUGGGGUCCUGACCCCAUAUUGAGGAUCUAAAGCCCCAUAGAAAGGGUCAUUUAUGGGUCCCAGACCCAUAUAAAGGGUCCUGAGGGGUCCUCGUCCCAUUAGUAAGGGGUCCCAGCCCCACAUAAGGGGGUUCUGACCCCAUAUUGGGGAUCUAGAGGGUCUGAGCCCCAUAGAAAAGGGUUCUUUGGGGGUCCCAGCCCCAUAUAAAGGGACCUGGGGGGACCUCAAUCCCAUAGGAAGGGGUCUCAGCCCCAUAAAUGGGGUCCUGACCCCAUAUUGGGGAUCUAGAGGGUCUGAGCCCCAUAGAAAGGGGUCAUUUAUGGGUCCCAGCCCCAUAGAAAGGGUUCCAGGAGGGGUUCCAGCCCCAUGGGGGAGAUGUGGGGGAUCCUAUGGGGGGGUGCAUGGGGCAGAUUUGGGGUUGGGGGGUAAUUAAGGGGNUGUGGGGCAGAUAUAGGGCAGAGGGGGGGGAAUAUGGGGAAGAUAUGGGGCAGAGGGGGGGAAUAUAGGGCAGAUAUGGGGUAGAGAAAGGGGAUAUGGGGCAGAUAUGGGGCAGAUAUGGGGUAAAUAGGGGCAGAUAUGGGGUAAAUAGGGGCAGAUAUGGGGGAUUUAGGGGCAGAUAUGGGGCAGAUAUGGGGCAGAUAUUGGGCAGGAGGGGGGAUAUGGGGCAGAUAUGGGGCAGAUAUGGGGCACAAGGAGGGAUAUAGGGGCAGAUAUGGGGCAUUUAGGGGCAGAUAUGGGGGAUAUAGGGCAGAUAUGGGGGAUAUAGGGGCAGAUAUGGGGUAAAUAGGGGCAGAUAUGGGGAUAUAGGGGCAGAUAUGGGGCAGCUAUGGGGUAUUGAUAAUUGGGGGGGUGGGAUGUGGGAGGGGCUGAGUUUGGGGGCUCCAUCCCCAUUGGCUCCGCCCCCCUUAGUGGGCGGGGCUUAAGGAUAUCGCCGUCACCCAUUGGCUUGUCCCACUUUGAGUGACAGCUUGUCCCCGC